rnacentral:rRNA from 1 species
GACGAACGCUGGCGGCGUGCUUAACACAUGCAAGUCGAACGGAAAGGCCUUUUUCGGGGGGUCCUCGAGUGGCGAACGGGUGAGUAACACGUGAGUAACCCGCCCUCUACUUUUGGGUAACUUCAGGAAAAGGGGGCUAAUACCGGAUAGGAGCUCCGGCUGCAUGGUGGGGGUUGGAAAGUUUCGGCGGGUGGGGAUUGGCUCGCGGCUCUUCAGCUUGUUGGUGGGGUAGUGGCUUACCAAGGCUUUGGCGGGUAGCCGGCCAUGGAGGGUGAGCGGCCACACUGGGACUGAGAGACGGCCCAGGCGCCUAAGGGAGGCAGCAGGGGGGAAGAAUGGACAAUGGGUGGAAGGCGGAUGCAGCAACGCCGGGUGCGGGAAGGCGGCCUUCGGGUUGGAAAACGGUUUCGGUCUUGGAGAAGGUUUGUGUGACGGUAGUGGGUAAAGAAGCACCGGCUAACUACGUG